rnacentral:rRNA from 1 species
GACGAACGCUGGCGGCGUGCUUAACACAUGCAAGUCGAGCGGUAAGGCCCUUUCGGGGGUACACGAGCGGCGAACGGGUGAGUAACACGUGGGUGACCUGCCCUCAGCUCUGGGAUAAGCCUGGGAAACCGGGUCUAAUACUGGAUAUGACUCCAUGACGCAUGUUGUGGGGUGAAAGCCUUGUGCGGCUGAGGAUGGGGCCCCGCGGCCUAUCAGCUUGGUUGGGUGGGGUGANGGCCUACCAAGGCGACGACGGGUAGCCGGCCUGAGAGGGCGACCGG